UCGUUUUUACCAUUACAAAACUUGGUUUUUUAUUUAAGAACACCGUACAGCAUAUUGGGUGUGUCUAAUUUAAAACAUACGUGUCAGACCCGAAGCCUCAUUACUUUAAUGGUCACGUGGGUCUGUGUACUUACGUUAAGGACAAAGUAGUCCCUUGAUUAUUUAUCUAUAAAUUGUUUGUAGGUAAAGUUAAAUGGACCGUAAUGAAAUUAUGAUAUUUUCUCAUGUAUGUUUUAUUGUUCUAUCCUAAACUUGAUCAUUAUACUUAGUUCAGAAGGAUGUGCAUUCAUGCUCGAAAAGUAGUCCUUACGAAUGCGCGCUAUGUCAGGCAAGGCCCUGAUGGGUAUUUUAUAUAGCGGACAUUCGUUCACUUGUUUUAAGCGAUGCUGGUCUGUCUCCAUUUACUCCGACACGCUUAAGUUUUGCCGUCAAUGUAGCCUGUUUGUGUUGCACCAUUUAAACAGGUAUGUAGAGAUAAUUGAAUAUAUUUGAUGCUAUUGAGUUUUACUUUGCUACCAGUGUUUAUGAUGCCGUAAUAUACGAGUCUGUUCAUUAAUUGUAUAUUAUGUAAUGAGAUGUUUUAUUCACUGUACGGUAGAAACGUACCGAGGCAUGUUAAAUGUAUUCUUCUGUUAUUUACGGGAUUGAUGAGUAGUCUGUAAGCAUCAGACUCGGUUUAUAUAUCAUGGGGAUUUUUACAACAAAUACUGAUUUAAAUGUAAAAGUCCAUAGUAUAUAAUUGAUGUUUCAUGUUUUUUUCUACUUUAGCCGCUGAGGCGUAAGUUGAGGUUACUGAGGUUACAAACUACGCUACAAAGCUACAAUUGACGAUGACGUAUGAUUUUUUCUUACCCGUGUGACAUUUAGUCUAGGGGGUUUCCGUUUUCCGUUUUUAUUUAUAAACGAAAUAAACUUCAUUUGCACUUCA